UACGUAGGGGGCAAGCGUUGUCCGGAAUCAUUGGGCGUAAAGAGCGUGUAGGCGGCCAGGUAAGUCCGUUCUGAAAGCCCGGGGCUCAACCCCGGGAGGCGGAUGGAUACUGCUUGGCUCGAGUCCGGAAGAGGCGAGUGGAAUUCCCGGCGUAGCGGUGAAAUGCGCAGAUAUCGGGAGGAACACCAAUGGCGAAGGCAGCUCGCUGGGACGGUACUGACGCUGAGACGCGAAAGCGUGGGGAGCAAACAGG
rnacentral:rRNA from 1 species